rnacentral:rRNA from 1 species
GGUAGAUAUGUGCCAGAGGCCUGGGGAAGACUGGGGGGCCAAGGGGUGGUCGGAGUUAAGUGGCGGAAAGGGGAGGUAUGUGGUGAGGUAAGUCGGAUGUGAAAGCUCGGAGCUGAACUCCGAAAUGGCAUUUGAAACUACCUUGCGCGAGGGUUGGAGGGGGGACUGGAAUACUUGGUGUAGCAGUGAAAUGCGUAGAUAUCAAGUGGAACACCAGUGGCGAAGGCGAGUCCCUGGACAACUCCUGACACUGAGGCACGAAAGCUAGGGGAGCAAACAGGAUUAGAUACCCGUGUAGUC